AGAGCGCAGGGUGGAUGCCUUGGCACUAAGAGCCGAUGAAAGACGUGAUAAGCUGCGAAAAGUCACGGGGAGGAGCAAAUAUCCAUUGAUCCGUGAAUAUCUGAAUGGGGAAACCCACAUGAGAAUACCUCAUGUAUCCAUACGCCAAUCCAUAACGUAUGGAAGGGAACCCGGUGAACUGAAACAUCUAAGUAGCCGGAGGAAGAGAAAGAAAAAUCGAUUUCCAAAGUAGCGGCGAGCGAAAUGGAAAGAGCCCAAACCGGAGUGCGUGCAUUCCGGGGUUCGGACCGCAUAAUUGAUUCAGCAAUUCCAGCAGAACUGUUUUGGGAAAGCAGACCAGAGAGGGUGAAAGUCCCGUAAGCGAAAGAAGAGCUGACAUGGCGGUAUCCAGAGUACAUCGAGACACGAGAAACCUUGAUGGAAUAAGCGGGGACCACCCCGUAAGGCUAAAUACUACUUAGUGACCGAUAGCGCAUAGUACUGUGAAGGAAAGGUGAAAAGGACCCCGGGAGGGGAGUGAAAGAGAACCUGAAACCCUGUGUUUACAAGCUGUGGAAGCACUUUAUAUGUGCGACCGCGUACUUUUUGUAGAACGGUCCGGCGAGUUACGCUUACUGGCGAGGUUAAGGACUUAAGGUCCGGAGCCGAAGGGAAACCAAGUCUUAACAGGGCGAGUUUAGUCAGUAGGAGUAGACCCGAAACCGGGUGAUCUAUCCAUGUCCAGGUUGAAGAUGCCGUAAAAGGCGUUGGAGGACCGAACCCACAUCCGUUGAAAAGGGUGGGGAUGAGGUGUGGAUAGGGGAGAAAUUCCAAUCGAACCCGGAGAUAGCUGGUUCUCCUCGAAAUAGCUUUAGGGCUAGCCUCGUUUUAGUCUUGUGGAGGUAGAGCACUGAAUUUCCGCGGGGGCGUCAAAGCUUACCAAAGAAUAUCAAACUCCGAAUGCCAUUAAGAUGAUGAACGGGAGUCAGACUGUACGAGAUAAGUUGGACAGUCAAAAGGGAAAGAGCCCAGACCACCAGCUAAGGUCCCAAAGUGUGUGUUAAGUGGAAAAGGAUGUGGGGAUUCAAAGACAACUAGGAUGUUGGCUCAGAAGCAGCCAUUCAUUCAAAGAGUGCGUAACAGCUCACUAGUCGAGAGUCCCUGCGCCGAAAAUGUCCGGGGCUGAAACACAACACCGAAGCUGUGGAAUCAUACCUAGUAUGAUUGGUAGAGGAGCAUUCUUAAGACCGACGAAGCUGUACCGAUAAGGAGCAGUGGAGGGAUAAGAAGAGAGAAUGCCGGAAUGAGUAGCGAGAGGAAGGUGAGAAUCCUUCCGGCCGAAUAUCCAAGGAUUCCAGGGUAAAGCUGAUCUGCCCUGGGUAAGUCGGGACCUAAGGAGAGGCCGAGAGGCGUAUCCGAUGGACAACAGGUUUAGAUUCCUGUACCACAUAUGGUCAGAACUGUGGGGACGCAGAAGGAAAGCAUGAGCCAGGAAUGGAAAGACUGGUACAAGCAGAGGGGAUGGUGUGCUGGCAAAUCCGCACACGAAAGUCCUUGCUGUGAUGUGGAGCGAACCAAAGUAGCGAAGCAUGCGGACCGGCUGCCGAGAAAAGCCGCUAUUGUGCCAUAUGNNNNNNNNNNGAGGAUGGUGUGCUGGCAAAUCCGCACACAAAAGUCCUUGCUGUGAUGUGGAGCGAACCAGAGUAGCGAAGCAUGCGGACCGGCUGCCGAGAAAAGCCGCUAUUGUGCCAUAUGUGCCCGUACCGUAAACCGACACAGGUGGAUGAGGAGAGAAUCCUAAGGCCGACGGAAGAAGUAUUGUUAAGGAACUCGGCAAAAUGACCCCGUAACUUCGGGAGAAGGGGUGCCUGAGAAAUCAGGCCGCAGAGAAUAGGCUCAAGCAACUGUUUAGCAAAAACACAGGUCUAUGCAAAACCGAAAGGUGAAGUAUAUGGGCUGACGCCUGCCCGGUGCUGGAAGGUUAAGAGGAGAGGUUAGCGCAAGCGAAGCUUUGAAUUUAAGCCCCAGUAAACGGCGGCCGUAACUAUAACGGUCCUAAGGUAGCGAAAUUCCUUGUCGGGUAAGUUCCGACCCGCACGAAAGGCGUAAUGAUUUGAGCACUGUCUCGACAAUACAUCCGGUGAAAUUGAAGUACCAGUGAAGAUGCUGGUUACCCGCGCCAGGACGGAAAGACCCCAUGGAGCUUUACUCCAGUUUGGUACUGGGAUUCGGUACUGCAUGUACAGGAUAGGUGGGAGACGAAGAAGUUAGGACGCCAGUCUUAACAGAGUCGCUGUUGGGAUACCACCCUUGCAGUAUUGGGUUUCUAACCAGCCGCUGUGAACCAGCGGUGGGACAAUGCCAGGCGGGGAGUUUGACUGGGGCGGUCGCCUCCGAAAGGGUAUCGGAGGCGCUCAAAGGUUCCCUCAGAAUGGUCGGAAACCAUUUAAAGAGUGCAAAGGCAGAAGGGAGCUUGACUGCGACACCGACGGGUGGAGCAGGUACGAAAGUAGGACUUAGUGAUCCGGUGGCAUAAAGUGGGAUUGCCAUCGCUCAACGGAUAAAAGCUACCCUGGGGAUAACAGGCUUAUCACUCCCAAGAGUUCACAUCGACGGAGUGGUUUGGCACCUCGAUGUCGGCUCAUCGCAUCCUGGGGCUGUAGCAGGUCCCAAGGGUUGGGCUGUUCGCCCAUUAAAGCGGUACGCGAGCUGGGUUCAGAACGUCGUGAGACAGUUCGGUCCCUAUCCGGCGCGGGCGUAGGAUAUCUGAGGGGAGCUGGCCUUAGUACGAGAGGACCGGGCUGGACGGACCACUGGUGCAUCAGCUGGAUACCAAAUCCAUAGCUGGGUAGCCAAGUCCGGAAGGGAUAAACGCUGAAGGCAUCUAAGCGUGAAGCCCCCCCCAAGAUGAGAUGUCCCUGU
rnacentral:rRNA from 1 species